rnacentral:rRNA from 1 species
CGCCCGCCGGACGAACCUUUUGAACUUUCUCAAGGUUGACCUC